rnacentral:lncRNA from 1 species
GUGGUCCUGCCUUUCUGGACCUAACCAAUGUUUAUUUUACAUGUAUUGAUUGGUGUCUCAUGUCUCCCUAAAACGUACCAAGCUGUGCUCAGGCCACCUCGGGCACAUGUUGUUAGAUCUCCUGAGGCUGUGUUAAUGAGCGCACAUCCUCAACCUUGGCAAAGUAAACUUUCAAGAUUAACUGAGACCCGUCUCAAAUUUUCGGGGUUCACAGAGCUCUGGAGCCAAAUAUUUCUGUUUUGAUUUUUACAGUAAAAAAAAUCGAAAGGUGCUAACAAUAUGGCAUGACUAGUCAUUUUUCAUUGUGUUUUGAAAACAAAACCACCCAUGGGCCUUCGGCUGUCCAGACAGACGCACCCUGUAUACGCGUGGAGCAGUGAGGGGCCUCUGGUCUUCAUAGCAUUUGUUCUCUACUGGUCAGGUCCCAGGGGAGCAUUACAGCCUCUGCUGGCAGCCACUGAAAACCAGAAAGCAAGCAGAAAAGGAUAUCGAGGUGAUGAGAGGCCGUGGGACUAACAGCUGAAGGUGUUUCAGGCAUCAGAGAGGCAGCCACACAGGAGGGGGAUCAGCAGGGCUCAGUGUGACCCAGAGAGAUGAGAACUGAGCCCUGAGAGCCCCUGGAAGGAGGCCUGCACUGCCAAGAGUCUGCUGCAUGAACCCAGGAAGGGAGGAACCCACACACCAGGGCACACAGGCAGCUGCCAGGUCAGGGAGGCGGCUUGUGGCUUCCUCUCAGGAACUCUUCUGUCCUCAUCAGGGUAAUAAAGAAAGGUCCCCUCACAAGGCGUGAGUCCCCAGCAACAGGCAAAGAAGAACCCUCUGGGCACCAGGAUUCUGCAACCAGCCCACUCAACCUCGGCCCACCCAGCAAAGCCCUCAGAACCUGCACACCCCUGACUCUCACAACCCCUGGGGCCUCUGGGGGUCCUGCCACAGGGAACCAACCAGCCACACCUGGAGCACAGGGUCUCCAAGAACAAGGGCUUCACAAUGGCCAUGGUGACUUGUAUGCCACAGUCAUCCCAGAUUGGACAGGGCAUGACCGUAAGCAGUACAGCAUGAUCCAAAAUAGGCCCUGGUGUUCCUAAUGCCAGAUAGUCUCUCCUGUUGGUCACAAUUCCUAAUCUCUGAAAGUGCCUCUAAGAUUGACGAGUGAUACCAACAAGUUAUUCAUCUGACGCAGCUCUAAAAACUCAAGCAGCCAUGGAUGGUAAACAGUAGCUUCCCUCAUACAAGAAAGGGGCUGCACCUUGCUUUUUUGCAGCAGCUUCCCAUCUAUAGUUCAGAAAAGAGGUCUUUGAAAAAACAAUGGCUCUGCAUGUGUCUGGCUGUCCACCUGUCGGCUGUGUUGGGGCAAGGGAGUAGACAAGGUGGUUCACCAGCUGGAGGAAAGGUGACAGGACAGAGGCCUAGGUUUGCAGUCACUCCUCUCCCGCUCUAGCAUGGCACCAGGAACAAAGCCUCCAUGCUCCAGUCUCCUCUUCCAAAUUACACAUCCAGAGUGUCUUCAAUGAACUUGGCUUCCAGAGUGUUCAUGAACCAGAUCAGGAGAGAAUAGACAUCUAUGAACAAAUCCAAAAGAGAACAGACUCUCAGAAGGUUGGGAUUCUAGUUUGGCAGCUGAAAUAGCCGGAAGAGUGAGAUAUCCAAAUAUCUUGGAGCUGUCAACGAGCUGCAUUGGCACCAGAGGAGCAAAAGCCAGCGCCGCGCAGGCUCACCGGCACCAUAAGCGACUGCGCCCGCUCCUGAGGCGGCAGCACUUACUGUACAGGAAAGCAAGUCACAAAUACGCAUCCUCAAGGCCAAAACUCUGCUUUGCAUAUUUUCACAGAAUAACUGGUUUUGCUUUUUUUUUUUUUUUUUUUUUUUUUUUUUUUUUUUUUUUUUUUUUUUUUUUGGUAAAGAGCUAAUGGGGGCAGAAAGGCAGAAACUGGAUAAAUAUUCUUCUCUCGCCUCCACCAACAGAAGUGAUAUCUGAGUGAUUCUGAUCCUGUGUAGGAGUCAGAGAGGGCAGGAGCCGCAUCAGAAAGGCUGGCGGCAUUGUUCACCGAGUCAAUCUCAAGUGCCUGACGGUCAGCAGACCGGCUCAAAGAAACCCUCGCAAUGACAGGCACAGAGAGCAAAGGGCACACAAGAUUCCCUCUGACAAUCGUCUCAAGCAAAUGAACAUCCACUCAAAUGAUGCACCCAAAGGCCGUACAGAGAAUAAAGGAGCAUUCCUGUGUGUUGACCACAACACCCGGCACACAACGUCACGUGAAAUCUUGGACCUAACGAUCACACCAGAAACAGAUUCAAAACAUUUUCACCAUUCCAAACAAAGGACAGUAUAGGAAAGAAACCGUCAUUUUCCCUUCCACUCCCACAGACCAAAAUGCACCUCAUAAAAAUUAUCUUCAUUUCUUAGAUAAGGAGUCGCCGAAACAAUCCCUUCACAAGCCUCUCACUGGUACACCCUGGUACUGAAUGAGAGAGGAGAGGACUCUCAUCUUCUGACCCAGGGAAGCGUGCUGUCUGGUAAGCUUUGAGUCUUUAGAGCUGUUAGUGAUGUCACCAUUAAAAAUCAACUAGGAAAAUGAACACAAUAAAAGAUGGUAAGAAAACAAAGGGCCAAUAGCCAUCUCUGAAUUAAAACUAGCUAAAUGUAAUUAAAGGAGCAGCUACGUUCAUGUCUUCACAGGAGAAGAGAGAACUAGCAAACGUGAAUGCAAGUAUCAACGAUGGGAAACACAGUUCUAGGGCUAUCACCAACAAGGAACAAUCAACACCACAGCGGAUUCUAAUUUGGGCUGAAUAAAACCUAAACCAAAACAAUCAAGGGCAGAUGGUACUUCUUUCAAAAUAAUGAAAAGACAAUAAUCUCCUCCCUUUUUGCUAAUCCGUUGACCUUAAUACCAAUUCUGUUCUUAAUCACCUGGCGACAUGAGUGCAGCUGUAUGCACUUUAUCUCAUCAUGAGACUACCCUCAAUAACUAUAACUUUUUUUCAUUAUUUCACUCAUUGUGACAUCAUUUUAAGUUAAUAUAAUUGUUUCAAAUCAUUACAGGAAAACAAAUUGACAAUAGCCUAAAGGAGAAUUCCUAUCAGAAACAAAAACCAUAUACCGAAAAUAUUUUUCAAAAACAAAAACACCAAAGCUCAUUGUAGAAAGAGUAACAUCCUGUUUUAUGUUUAGUGUUGGCAUUAGUCAUAAGGAUCUGGGGAACAGGAAUAAAUUCUUAACAAUUAACUAUAGAAAUCCCAAACACCUUGCUGGUGGAGUCACUCUUCUCUACCUGGUAAACUCCUACAGAUCCUACAAGAUCCAGCUCAUUUGCCCCUCUGUGAGGCCUUCAUUAACUCCUUCCCAUUAACUCAAGAACAUUCAAUUCACUCCCUCUUCUAGUUCUCUCAUUAGUUCCACCCAUAAACAUUUACUAAAAUCUAUGUGUCAAGCACAGUGUCUACAACUCUGCAGUACACAGAGGAAUGAUACGUGCUUCAUGCCCAGGAAGGACUCACUAGUUAGAAGUGGCAGGCAUGUAUGCAAGGUUAUUGUUACACAGUGGACUAGUGCUCUAAUGGAGAUAUGCUAUGCAGAGAAAUAGUCAUAUCAUCCCUCAAGUACCCCAUGAGGCUGUGAUUCAUUCAAUCUUUUCCAUCUCCUCCAGUAUGCUACUGACCUCUGAAGACAGGAACUGUGCUCUAGUUAGCUCCAGCUUCCACUGCCUAGUGAAUGCAGAACACACCAUAAACAUGCAAUAUAUGUUUGUUAAUGCAUUAAAAAGACAAAAACUACUAGUGCUUUAUAAUUGGGUCUUACAGCUCCAAACAAAAGGUAUUUGUUAACUGUAUAACCCAAUAAUUUGCUACAAUGUGCCUGUCAACACUGGAGGACCUCUGGAGCAGAUGUACUUUUGAACAUUCCCCCUGGUGGCAGGAUAUUCCAGCCCAAGUCUCUUUGAUGACUUAUCAAAGAGAAAGAUGUUAACAGGUGACCUAUGCUGAAACUUGGGCUCCAACCUAAGGAAAUAAACAGCAGGACACAGCCCACAGCGGUGACUUAGAAGGUUCCCUGGCUGACGUUCAGCACAGCUCUUCCUUGUACCCCAAGUACAACUGCUCUGUCUCCAGGAGAAUCAUUUUAGCCCUAAACAAAAAUAAUGAGGAGUUUCCUAAAUUGCUAUCUGGAGUAAUUUACAAAAAGCAAGCAAACUCUAGGAAUGUUCAAUUGUAACAACAAAACACUGUAGAUAAUCAAUUCUAAUAACAAAAGACUAAUCAGUUCAAAAUGUUUCAAAUGAGAAACACUGAAUUACAUAGUUUCCUUACUAGUGUCCUUUUCAGGCCAGGCGCGGUCGCUCAGGCUUGUAAUCCCAGCACCUUGGGAGGCUGAGGCGGGUGUAUCACGAGGUCAGGAGAUUGAGACCACAGUGAAACCCCGUCUCUACUAAAAAUACAAAUAAAUUAGCCGGGCGUGGUGGCGGGCACCUGUAGUCCCAGCUAUUCGGAGAGGCUGAGGCAGGAGCAUGGCAUGAACCCGGGAGGCAGAGGUUGCAGUGAGCUGAGAUCGCGCCACUGCACUCCAGCCUGGGCGACAGAGCGAGACUCUGUCUCAAAAAAAAAAAAAAAAACCAACCAACCAACCAACCAACCAACAAAAAGUGUCCUUUUCAGUAACAAAUCAAAUUUAAAAAUCAAACUUUAUCAAAUUGUUUCAGUAAUUUUAUUUCAUUUAAUUGCUGUGUCCUCACGUUCUCCACUGAAGGCUGUUUGUUUUAAAUGGUUUAAAAAAUAAAAAUAUAAAUGGUUUAAAAAAUAAAAAUAAUAAAAUAAUAAAAUAAAAAAACCACAGGUGUGGUGGCUCAUGCCUGUAAUCCCAGACCGAGGGGGGUGGAUCAAGAGGUCAAGAGAUGGAGACCAUCCUGGCCAACAUGGUGAAACCCUCUCUCUACUAAAAACACAAAAAUUAGCUGGGUGCGGUGGCAUGCGCCUCUAGUCCCAGCUACUGGGGAGGCUGAGGGAGGAGAAUUGCUUGAACCUGGGAGGGGGAGGUUGCAGUGAGCUGAGAUCGCUCACUGCACUCCAGCCUGGCAACAGAGUGAGACUCCAUCAAAAAAAAAAAAAAAAAGUCUAUCACCCUACAGUAAUUGACUGAUACAAAUCAAGGGAAUCAGAAAUUAAAGAACAAAGCCACUCAUAAAAUGUGCUGUCAAAAAUCAGUUGUAAAUUACUAAUUUUAAAAGCUAACCUCAGUAAGAGGUAUCAAUGAAUCACUUUAUUACUGUAAUCAAUCCUCCCAGACAGCAAGAGAACACUCUAAAGACACCGAAUGUUCUGGAUGGGCAUAGCCAGUGUGGGCUUCACUCACAGCACAGCUGGUUCCAGGGCCGGCCCAGACGGCAUCCACUGGGAUGCAGAGAGCAUGCGCUGCAAGGGGACCCCCUACAAUGUCAUUUAUCAUUUAUUAUUUGAUCUUUCCUUGUAUUAAAUUAUACUUGAGUCAACGGACUCUGCCCUAACACAUGUGUAUCAGUUAACACGAAACUGCCCUUGAUCUGACACAGGGUCUUUCUGGAAUGUCUGCUGGCUUGCUGCUAUCAGUUGCAAGCCUUACACAGAGGGAGCAGCCCUGAACUCACCGAGGCAACUGUUCUGCAUUAGAGGGAAGAACUAGGAAGAGCCUAAAUAGACAAGUUCCAACAAGGACCAGACAGUACAAGAGAAUCAUCCUACAAAAGGUAGGUGCUCCAAUCCUUUCAUCCUUAAUGCCUUCAGUUCAGAAUACAGGCAAACCAAAGGUACACGUAUGUAGGAGCCUGUGUGUGCUUUAAAAUAAGACUCCAGCCAUCUUGCUUCCCUGUGCUAAUGGAAAUACCUUGCCUAAGCAAUUAACUCUAAGCCAAAUAGACUAAUGCAAUAAUUACUUAGUCUUUAGAUUUCUGUAGCCAAUUCAAAAAUUUACUAGCUCUUUUAAAGAAUAUGAAAAGAUUCUAACGGAAGAAAAACCUGUACCAGCUGAGGUCACUUCUAAUUUCCUUUAUAUUUUCAAGGACUCCAAAUUUUAAAACAUUAUGGCCAAAAUGUACAGAAAGCCAGUGGUGCUUCUCAUGAUGCUUAUCACGUUGCAGGUCUACGAUAGUU